rnacentral:rRNA from 1 species
UACGUAGGGGGCAAGCGUUGUCCGGAAUCAUUGGGCGUAAAGCGCGUGUAGGCGGCUCGAUAAGUCUGCUGUGAAAGUCCAGGCUCAACCCUGGGAUGCCGGUGGAUACUGUCGAGCUCGAGUCCGGAAGAGGCGAGUGGAAUUCCUGGUGUAGCGGUGAAAUGCGCAGAUAUCAGGAGGAACACCAAUGGCGAAGGCAGCUCGCUGGGACGGUACUGACGCUGAGACGCGAAAGCGUGGGGGAGCAAACAGG